GCCAUCGUGGUGUAGUGGUCAGCACACUCGGCGCGUAUUCGAGAGGUCCGUGGUUCGAGUCCUGGCGAGGGCA
rnacentral:tRNA from 1 species